UAAGAAGAAGAAGAAAAAAA
rnacentral:sRNA from 1 species